CCGGUUCGUCGGCGGCGAGAAACUCCCGGGCAAGGUGACCUUCGUCUCGGCGCAGGAGCAUACAGGCCCGGUGAGCGUCGGCCCGUCGGUGGACCGAGGAAGACCGUCGCGGAGCGGCGUCGACCGUUCGUCGUGUGUUGGCGUUCGACUCGGGGGGACUGGUUCCAGUGCCCUCGGACCGCGCCGGCGCAGCGGCGGGCGCGCACGGCGUCGCGCCUGGGGUCGGUGGCGAAACGGCCGGCAACCUGUCCGACCCGUCUUGAAACACGGACCAAGGAGUCUAACAUGUGCGCGAGUCGUUGGGCGCUACGAAACCCGAAGGCGCAAUGAAAGUGAAGGCCCGGUCUCCGGCCGGCCUGGGUGGGAUCCCGGCGGUCUCGGCCGUCGGGCGCACCACCGGCCCGUCUCGUUCGUUACGUCGAGGAGGCGGAGCAAGAGCGUACACGUUGGGACCCGAAAGAUGGUGAACUAUGCCCGAGUAGGACGAAGCCAGAGGAAACUCUGGUGGAGGUCCGCAGCGAUUCUGACGUGCAAAUCGAUCGUCAAACUUGGGUAUAGGGGCGAAAGACUAAUCGAACCAUCUAGUAGCUGGUUCCUGUCGAAGUUUCCCUCAGGAUAGCUGGCGCUCGUCGUGAGCAGUUUUAUCCGGUAAAGCGAAUGACUGGAGGCCUUGGG
rnacentral:rRNA from 1 species